CAGCAGCCGCGGUAAUACGUAGGGUGCAAGCGUUAAUCGGAAUUACUGGGCGUAAAGCGUGCGCAGGCGGUUAUAUAAGACAGAUGUGAAAUCCCCGGGCUCAACCUGGGAACUGCAUUUGUGACUGUAUAGCUAGAGUACGGCAGAGGGGGAUGGAAUUCCGCGUGUAGCAGUGAAAUGCGUAGAUAUGCGGAGGAACACCGAUGGCGAAGGCAAUCCCCUGGGCCUGUACUGACGCUAAUGCACGAAAGCGUGGGGAGCAAACAGGAUUAGAUACCCCAGUAGUCCCUGUCUCUUAUAC
rnacentral:rRNA from 1 species